rnacentral:rRNA from 1 species
AGUGAACGCUGGCGGCAGGCCUAAUACAUGCAAGUCGAACGGCAGCACAGCAGAGCUUGCUCUGUGGGUGGCGAGUGGCGGACGGGUGAGGAAUACAUGGGAAUCUGCCCAGUCGUGGGGGAUAACGUAGGGAAACUUACGCUAAUACCGCAUGCGCCUUCGGGAAAGCCGGGGACCUUCGGGCCUGGCGCGAUUGGAUGAGCCCAUGUCGGAUUAGCUAGUUGGCGGGGUAAUGGCCCACCAAGGCGACGAUCCGUAGCUGGUCUGAGAGGAUGAUCAGCCACACUGGAACUGAGACACGGUCCAGACUCCUACGGGAGGCAGCAGUAGGGAAUAUUGGACAAUGGGCGCAAGCCUGAUCCAGCCAUGCCGCGUGAGUGAAGAAGGCCCUCGGGUUGUAAAGCUCUUUUGUCCGGAAAGAAAAGACGCCGGGUUAAUACCCUAGUGUCCUGACGGUACCGGAAGAAUAAAGCACCGGCUAACUUCGUGCCAGCAGCCGCGGUAAU